rnacentral:rRNA from 1 species
ACGCUCGACACCUACGGUAGGCAGCAGUAGGGAAUCUUCCACAAUGGGCGCAAGCCUGAUGGAGCAACACCGCGUGAGUGAAGAAGGGUUUCGGCUCGUAAAGCUCUGUUGUUGGAGAAGAACGUGCGUGAGAGUAACUGUUCACGCAGUGACGGUAUCCAACCAGAAAGUCACGGCUAACUACGUGCCAGCAGCCGCGGUAAUCUGAGCGGGCUGGCAAGGC